CAAAAGAGUGGGAGGAUCUUUGAGUAGAGGUGAUAAACCUACCGAGCAUAGUAAUAGCUGGUUGCCUGUGAAAUGAAUAGAAGUUCAGCUUUUUAAAACUUCCCCCCUCUUUUAUGCAAGAGCUAAAAUUGAUUAAGGAAAUUAAAAAAGUUAAUCAGAAGGGGUACAGCCCUUCCGAUAAAAGAAACAACUUUAGUAGGUGCUAAAAGAACAUAUUACACAAGGAACUCAAACUAAGUGGGCCUAAAAGCAGCCAUCUUAUUAGAAAGCGUCGAAGCUCAAAUUGAAUCUACCCCCUUAUAUUCUGCUAUUAAAUCUACCCCCCUACCUUCUACCAGGCCUUCUUACAAACGUAAGAUAGAUUAUGCUAAAAUGAGUAAUAAGAAGAAACUAUUCUUCUCCUUAGCACACGUGUAAAUCAGAAUGGACCAUCCACUGACUAUUAAUCGGCCCCCCACUCAGAGGGCAGUAAGUUAAAAAAACAAGAAAAAUACUUAUUAAAAACCGUUAAUCCUACACAGGAGUGCAUCCUGGAAAGACUAAAAGAAAAGGAAGGAACUCGGCAAACCAAGCCUCGCCUGUUUACCAAAAACAUCGCCUCUUGCUUUAAAAAUAUAAGAGGUCCCGCCUGCCCUGUGACUAAUAGUUUAACGGCCGCGGUAUUUUAACCGUGCAAAGGUAGCGUAAUCACUUGUCUUUUAAAUGAAGACCCGUAUGAAUGGCAUCACGAGGGCUUAGCUGUCUCCCUUUUCCAGUCAAUGAAAUUGACCUCCCCGUGCAGAGGCGGGGAUAAACACAUAAGACGAGAAGACCCUGUGGAGCUUUAGACCUAAAAUAAGCUACGUUUAACAGCCUGUAAAAUCAGAAAUAACUUAGUAGUUUUUAUUGAAGUGUCUUUGGUUGGGGCGACCGAGGGGUAAAACACAACCCCCAUGUGGACCGGGGAUACUAUCCCUAAUACCAAGGGCCUCCCCCCCAAGUAACAGAACUUCUGACCUUAUGAUCCGGCACAGCCGAUUAACGAACCGAGUUACCCCAGGGAUAACAGCGCAAUCCCCUCUAAGAGCCCAUAUCGACGAGGGGGUUU
rnacentral:rRNA from 1 species